AGCAGAGAGGCCACCCUUUGCAAAGUGGUCUUCAAGGUUCCACGACUGGAACUUUUUUGAUAGAUCGUUUCUGUGGUCUGUAUCUACAACCUGGAUCCCGAGUGACCGGCCAGCAGGAAAGUCCGUGUGACCUUUAAGGACCAGGCCUGUUUUUGCCACAGGCAGGAGGGUUCUGUGUUUUAAUUGCCUGGAGGCUUCAUCCAAAACCGGAGUCAGCCGACAGUGCAGACUGUGAGCAGGGCGGUGACAUCUGUGGCACUUGGAACUGUGCCCGGCCCUACAGCAAGGAGACCUCCUGGUACCGUGAAGUUGGAAACAAAGUGGGUUCAGCAAAGGAAACUCGACGUUGCCACAAGGAACGGCAGAGCUACUCAUGACGUCACCCAACCAUUUCCAAUUAAUCUUGGAAUGAGCGCCCAAGGCAAGGAGCCAGUGGUGCCUGAGGAAUGCUAAAGAGCAAACUGAUCCAGGGAAACAAAUGCCAGCGAGGGACCCCACAGCAAAGAGACAGACUCUGUGAGCAACUCUCCCGUUACCAUGAGG